GACGAACGCUGGCGGCGUGCCUAAUACAUGCAAGUCGAACGAACUCUGGUAUUGAUUGGUGCUUGCAUCAUGAUUUACAUUUGAGUGAGUGGCGAACUGGUGAGUAACACGUGGGAAACCUGCCCAGAAGCGGGGGAUAACACCUGGAAACAGAUGCUAAUACCGCAUAACAACUUGGACCGCAUGGUCCGAGCUUGAAAGAUGGCUUCGGCUAUCACUUUUGGAUGGUCCCGCGGCGUAUUAGCUAGAUGGUGGGGUAACGGCUCACCAUGGCAAUGAUACGUAGCCGACCUGAGAGGGUAAUCGGCCACAUUGGGACUGAGACACGGCCCAAACUCCUACGGGAGGCAGCAGUAGGGAAUCUUCCACAAUGGACGAAAGUCUGAUGGAGCAACGCCGCGUGAGUGAAGAAGGGUUUCGGCUCGUAAAACUCUGUUGUUAAAGAAGAACAUAUCUGAGAGUAACUGUUCAGGUAUUGACGGUAUUUAACCAGAAAGCCACGGCUAACUACGUGCCAGCAGCCGCGGUAAUACGUAGGUGGCAAGCGUUGUCCGGAUUUAUUGGGCGUAAAGCGAGCGCAGGCGGUUUUUUAAGUCUGAUGUGAAAGCCUUCGGCUCAACCGAAGAAGUGCAUCGGAAACUGGGAAACUUGAGUGCAGAAGAGGACAGUGGAACUCCAUGUGUAGCGGUGAAAUGCGUAGAUAUAUGGAAGAACACCAGUGGCGAAGGCGGCUGUCUGGUCUGUAACUGACGCUGAGGCUCGAAAGUAUGGGUAGCAAACAGGAUUAGAUACCCUGGUAGUCCAUACCGUAAACGAUGAAUGCUAAGUGUUGGAGGGUUUCCGCCCUUCAGUGCUGCAGCUAACGCAUUAAGCAUUCCGCCUGGGGAGUACGGCCGCAAGGCUGAAACUCAAAGGAAUUGACGGGGGCCCGCACAAGCGGUGGAGCAUGUGGUUUAAUUCGAAGCUACGCGAAGAACCUUACCAGGUCUUGACAUACUAUGCAAAUCUAAGAGAUUAGACGUUCCCUUCGGGGACAUGGAUACAGGUGGUGCAUGGUUGUCGUCAGCUCGUGUCGUGAGAUGUUGGGUUAAGUCCCGCAACGAGCGCAACCCUUAUUAUCAGUUGCCAGCAUUAAGUUGGGCACUCUGGUGAGACUGCCGGUGACAAACCGGAGGAAGGUGGGGAUGACGUCAAAUCAUCAUGCCCCUUAUGAUCUGGGCUACACACGUGCUACAAUGGAUGGUACAACGAGUUGCGAACUCGCGAGAGUAAGCUAAUCUCUUAAAGCCAUUCUCAGUUCGGAUUGUAGGCUGCAACUCGCCUACAUGAAGUCGGAAUCGCUAGUAAUCGCGGAUCAGCAUGCCGCGGUGAAUACGUUCCCGGGCCUUGUACACACCGCCCGUCACACCAUGAGAGUUUGUAACACCCAAAGUCGGUGGGGUAACCUUUUAGGAACCAGCCGCCUAAGGUGGGACAGAUGAUUAGGGUG
rnacentral:rRNA from 1 species